rnacentral:rRNA from 1 species
UACGUAGGGGCCAAGCGUUGUCCGGAUUUAUUGGGCGUAAAGAGCUCGUAGGCGGUUGGGUAAGUCGGGUGUGAAAACUCCAGGCUCAACUUGGAGAGGCCACCCGAUACUGCUCUGACUUGAGUUCGGUAGGGGAGUUGGGAAUUCCUGGUGUAGCGGUGAAAUGCGCAGAUAUCAGGAGGAACACCGGUGGCGAAGGCGCCACUCUGGGCCGAAACUGACGCUGAGGAGCGAAAGCGUGGGUAGCAAACAGG